UGAUGCAUACAGAAAGUUAAAAGUCAGCUG
rnacentral:piRNA from 1 species